AGAACGAACGCUGGCGGCAUGCCUAACACAUGCAAGUCGAACGAGACCUUCGGGUCUAGUGGCGCACGGGUGCGUAACGCGUGGGAAUCCGCCCUUGGGUUCGGGAUAACAGUUGGAAACGACUGCUAAUACCGGAUAAUGACUUCGGUCCAAAGAUUUAUCGCCCAGGGAUGAGCCCGCGUAGGAUUAGCUAGUUGGUGAGGUAAAGGCUCACCAAGGCGACGAUCCUUAGCUGGUCUGAGAGGAUGAUCAGCCACACUGGGACUGAGACACGGCCCAGACUCCUACGGGAGGCAGCAGUGGGGAAUAUUGGACAAGUGGGCGAAAGCCUGAUCCAGCAAUCGGACCGCGUGAGUGGUUGAAGGUCCUUAGGGGUUAGUAAAGCUUCGUUUUACCCGGGAUGAAUAAUGACGAGUACCGGAGAACGUAACGCCCCGGUACUAACCGUUCCGUCGACCGAAGGCCAACGGCCGGCGUAAAC
rnacentral:rRNA from 1 species